CCCCUCCUGGGAGCCCAUGCCAUCUCUAGCCCUGGGGUGCCCUCCCCGACGAGAGAGCCUUCACUCACACUGCUCCAGGAGUCCAGGGUGGCGUGGGAGCCUGGCCGUCGGCCGAGUGCACCGUGUGUGUGAGCCAGGGGCUUCCACCACCUGGAAACGGUCAAGGAGUGCAACUGGCUGAGGAAGCCCAGGUCCUCAUUCCUAAGAGGCGCCUUCGUGUACCUUGCCGGCAUCUUGUCUGCCCUCCCACACACGGGCCUGGGGUGGUGAGGAGGGCGACCAGGCAGUGCUGCCGGCCCAGCUGCCCAAGUCCACAGAGAGCCUGGAUGCUGCCCCAGCCUCUGGGACUUCGGUGGCCCACGUGUAGGACUGACCCAAUCCUUGGAGGCCUGGUCAGGGCCUCUAGAGACAGGCCACCUACCCUAACCCGGGGGCAGGAGUCCGGCAUCCUGAGAGCUCCCUCUCCCUGUCCCCCAGGCCCCUCUGUACUUUCACCCAGGUCCCCAUCCACACCCUCACCACACCCGGCACACACCAGGCCACUGGUCAAACUGGUCUACCUCCCUCCCUCCCGCCAGCCUCGGCUCAGUCGUCCUACCCUCAUGGCCACCCACGCUCUGAGACCCCUCCUGACCGCUCGCCCUGCACUCCAUGCCACCUACAGCCUACCUCCCUCAGUGGGGCUGCACAGUGCUGGCCCCAUUCCGGGUUAUUCUGGGGUUACAUACAUGUGCUGGGGCCACUGACCAGCCAGCCAGGGAGGGGAGGGCGCGUCCUGGGGCAGUCACUGACCCUUGGUAUCCCAUGACAGAGCUUCAAGGACAAAAGCCAGGAAAACCCAGGUGGCUCCCUGCCCCUGGCAGCUCCUGAUAAAUGCAGGCCUUUGCCAUGAGACCCAAGCAGGCAGGGACCUGGGAACCUGCACUUUACCCCAGGCCUCUCCAGGCCCAGUCCCACCCCCACCCAAGCAGAGGUGGCCCAGCUGCGGCGGCUGAGCAGCUGAGAGUUUAGGGAGAGCACCCCAGGGGUUCAUACACACUGAACACCGACCACGUGCCAUCGCCAGCCCCUCGGACAUUCAGGGCCACCGGUAACGCUUACUGCCUCCAUUUUACAGAUCAGGAAACCGAGGCUCAGCACAAGCCACCUGGCCACGAACACACCUGGAUUCAAAUUCAGGACCCAGGUCCUCUGUAAACAAGGCUGGGCCACAUCGUCUCUGUGUGCCCUCAGUUCCUAUCUGUCAGCCUGCGUGCAGCAUGCAUCCCUGUGGGGGAGAGGAGGGCAGGAGCUGACUCAGCACUCCACUUUCCUCUGUGUAAACAGGGAGGGCUGAGGCAGGUUUGCAGUCCACCUGACCUCCUUCCAUCCCCCCCAGGCUGGCCUCCUUGGUGGGCCUCUCCCUGACUCUGUAGGUCUGAGAGACUCCCUGAGAAGUCACUGUCAGCACCCUCUUUCCAGAUGGCUGGCUGGGACAGAACUGGGUCUGCCCGUGUUCACCUCUCCCCAGGGUGUGCUCAGAACCAAGCAACAGGGAGGCAGGGACGGGGAGUCUGACAGAGUCCUCACCCCUCAGAGCCUCCAUCCUGGCCCCCUGGCCCACCUGGAGUGCAGUGCUGGCUCCUAGGGGCCCUUUCCCGGGGGUCCUGGUAACGGACACAGGGGGGUAGAGCCAGGAGGUGAUAGAGCCCAGCCCAGCCUGGGCAGAGAGGACAGAGGGCUGGCCAGGGUCAUACUGAGCCGUGCCAGGUGGGCCUUGACCUGGAAUCCCAACUCCCACUCCAGAACUUGCCACCCGGUCUCAGACUGUGGCAAAAAAAUUCUACACAUUCAUCAUCACCACAGUAACAUUCCCUGGGCCGCCCUGGUGCUGGGGCCUGGUUACAUGCCUCAUCACAAGAUCACACGCGUGUCAUCCACAGGGCCCUCACCCCAGGGCCACUCCUGAGGGGCAUACUCAGGAUGGCCACCGACCGGCAGGCAGGGACAUCACCAGCAUUGACAGCUGAGCCCACGGAGCAGAGAGGGGAGCUCGAGGCGGGGGCCUGGACCUCAGCGGGUGAGGAGCCAAAUUUUUCCCACCCCCGCCUCCGGGGAGAAGAAGACAGGCAUUGGCUGCUGGCGGACACACCUUCCGCGCAUAGCGCAGUAGGUGCUCAGUAAAUGCAGGUAAGUGAAGGAAAGAGCAGCGUGUGUGUCCCGCCGCUUGACACCCGGGGCCCGGCUUGGAGGAGGCGCUGUCCCCCAACCCCUGAUCCUGAUCCUGCCGGAGGAGGCGGCGUCAGGCCCCCACCACACUCGUGGAUCUGGCUCAGGCGCACGGUGUGUGUCCAGCCCUGCAGGUGGAAGGAAGAUGAAGUCGUGGGGCUGUGUGUCUUACUCAAAGGCCAGCCAGCGUCCCCCUGCCUGGCCCCUUCCACCUCCCCAAAGUCUGCACCCUGCCAGCCAGGAUUCAGCGCCCCUGAGCCCAUGUCAGCUGCUGCUUCACCCUCUGAGAGGUUUGUGUGGCUUCCCUGGGACUGGCACCUGAGGAGUGCCAGGAGGCGCGCGAGGAAGGGGCUCACCGGCGGUGUGGCUGAACCUGCUGGGCCAGGCGCUUUCUCGUUGCCCACCCCAUCUCAUCCUGCAGCCGCCAUGUGAUGCCAGGAGUUCCAUUUUCAGAUGAGAAAACUGGGACUGUGGAAGGUGAAACUCACACUGGGGAUCUGGCUCCGCCCCCAGGGAGUCUGGCUGCAGAGCCCGCGUGCAGCCCCCCUGGAACCACUCAGAAGCUCAAGGUUGUGGCCCCCGCGAUCUCCUGGCUGAUCCCAUUCCCGGGAGAAAAUCCCUCUGAUGUCCUGCCUGGGAAGGAGACGUCUGGCCACCGAGGACGGGUGGGUGGGACAGGCUGGGUCUCAGCGGUGUGUGUGUGCCGAGUCCCCCACCCACUCUGUUCCUGAGGCCCCCCAGUCCAGGGUCCCUCUGGCCCCAUCCAGGGAAGAGCCUAGCGGGGCGGCACCAGACCCAGCUGUUCUCCACUUUGUUCCCAGCCAGCCCUGCUUAUUUUAGCUUCCCUUCACUCGCACCUCUAGACGCCCCCUAGGCUCUCCAUUCCCGAGCCUUCUAGAGGGGAGUGUGAGGCUCCAGGUUUAGGGGGACAUGGGGAGGCCUGCUUCUGUCCUGGGGGAGCUGGCUCCUCUGUCUGAGCCCCACCCACCCCCAUGUUCAGUGAGGACUGCAUCUUCCCUGGGCCCUUCCCACCCGCAGGCCCUGUCUCACAGGGGAGAGGCUUCCCCAGGGCCUGGCUGCCAGGGAGCCGACGGGCCAGCCUGAGAGCUUCACUCCUUGGCUUGUCUGUCCUCAGCAGUCUCUGUCUUCAGAGAUCUCUUUGUUACAAAUAACUCCCAUCAGCAUUAAGCCUCACCAUCAAACAUCUUACCUUUCAAGUAAGCUGUCACCCAACACCUGAGCUGACAGUUAGCAGCCUGGUUAUCAGCUGAUACCUCACAUAGCAGCCGUUAACCUCACUGACCACUGAGAAGAAGGCUUUGUCUGGGGAAGAAAUACAGACAUUCCCCUGUGGGUGGCUGUUGGGAGGAGGAAAACAGCUUUAACAAGGAAUGGGGGGCUCGAGACCCCAAAGCCACUGUCACCAUGCAGCCCAGGGACCAUGAGGCUGGGGCUCCGGCAGGCACACCCACACGGGUCAGGUGACCUCCAGCUCAGGGCACAUUAUCGUCAUCCAGGUGGGGUGGGCUCCUUGGGAGCAGGGGCCAGGGCACGUGGUAGGCACUCAGUGCAAACAUGUCUAAUAAAUGAUCAAAGCCGGCUGCAUGCAGCUUCUCUCCAUUGGGCAGAUGGAAACCCUGGCGCCAAGAGGAGAGAGAGUUGUCAGGUGCCAGGGCUGCCCUGGCUUUCUGCCCUGCCUGGCCUCCACUGACAUGCUGCAUAUUCUGCCUUGCUAACCCCCUUAGAAGACUCUUACUGGCCAGGGCUGGAAGAGGGGACUAAAGGUCCCAAGAGUUGCCUUCUUGGCCCAAGGCAGGGCUGUCCAGGCCCUUCUGCUCCCAUAGGAAGGCUCAGAACCUGCUAGAAUCCUCUCUGGGGCCAGAGGGUCUGGGAAGAUGUUCCAGCACUAAAUAGGUCUGGGAAAUAGAGCAGGAUAGAGACAUAUGUUCCCAGAAGGGCUGUCGAGUACAUAGUGUAUGUGGUGGGCAGGGAGGGCCUGCAGGCCAAGAGGCUAGCAGACAGGAGGGCAGCAGGAGGGGGCGAGCUGCUCCCCCAGUGCUGUGGCCCAGCAGCCCAGUGAGGCUGUCAUGCUGGCUGGGCAGGGCCCAUGGAGGGCCCAGCCCUGCAGGACCACUGGAGCUUGGCUGAGGUGUGGAGACUGGCAAGGGGUACAACUUGCAGACCCUCUCCUGGCUCCCCACCCCCAGGAGCCCCUUGAGAUGGGGGGUCCUAGCUCAGCCUCAAAAAAUCAUUUAUUCACUCUUGCAUGCCACAUGUAUUUACAGAGCACCUAAAAACGUUCAUUCAUGCUGCAAACCUCCUUGCCAGCCAUGACUCACAGUCCCGGCCCGGCCCCUCGGACUGGAAGGACUUACGGCGCUUACGGCGCCCGGCUGUCCCGUGGUUGCCUCGGUGAUGUCAUGGGUUCAAGGGCUUCCCUGGGUCUGGGGCCCUGGAGUGGAGGGUGACGUGUUUGACAAGGAAGCGGACGAGUCUCUCCUAGUGCAGCGGUAAUGGCGGAGCCACAUGCAGAGACGAGUCAAGGUAAAACUAUGUGGCGGGAGGGUUAUAGAGAUGGAGUAGAUGCUGGCAAAGCUGUUACUCUUCAACAAGGCUUCAAUCAAGGUUAUAAGGAAGGUGCAGACGUCAUUAUAAACUAUGGACAACUCAGAGGAACAUUGAGUGCUUUGCUCUCCUGGUGUCAUCUUCAUGACAGUACUUCAGCUUUGAUCAGUAAAAUAAAUAAUCUUCUGGAUGCAGUUGGCCAAUGUGAAGAGUAUGUGCUCAAACAUCUGAAUCAAUCACUUCAGAACCCCAUGUUGUAGAUUUAUUGGACUCUGUUCAGGAUAUGAACCUAUGUCAUGCUGCAAACCUCAGCUGAGGGUCUCCCGUGUGCAACAUGGUGCCAGGCGCCGGGGUGCCGCUAUGAGCAGGCUGGCAGGGACGCUGCCCCUCUCCACCCAUUUCCCCCAUCCUAGGUGAGGGCAGCGCCCCCUCCCCCUUCCUCAGGCCUAUGACUUCAAGUCCUCCGCCACUUUCUUCCCCACUGCACCACAGUUUGUGUGCAUUCCCUGUGGCUGCUAUAGCAGUUGUGUCAAACUCAGUGGCUUAAAACAACACAAAUGUAUUUUCUUAAAA